rnacentral:tRNA from 1 species
GGAGAGGCUGUGGCUCAGUGUUGGAGCAUCUGUUUGGCAUGCAGAAGGUCCCAGGUUCAGUCCCUGGCGUCUCCA